UACGUAGGUGACGAGCGUUAUCCGGAAUACUGGGCGUAAAAGCGCACGCAAGCGGUUUUACAAGUCUGGCGUGAAAUUUCUCUGGCUUAACCAGGGGCGGUCGCUGGAGACUGUAAGACUUGAGGCGAUGAGAGGGGUGCAGAAUUCCCGGUGUAGUGGUGGAAUGCGUAGAUAUCGGGGGGGGAAUACCAGUGGCGAAAGGCGGCACC
rnacentral:rRNA from 1 species